rnacentral:rRNA from 1 species
UACGUAGGUGGCAAGCGUUGUCCGGAUUUAUUGGGUUUAAAGGGUGCGUAGGCGGUCUUAUAAGUCAGUGCUGAAAUAUCCCGGCUUAACCGGGAGGGUGGCAUUGAUACUGCAAGACUUGAGUAGAGUUGAGGUUGGCGGAAUUGACGGUGUAGCGGUGAAAUGCUUAGAUAUCGUCAAGAACACCGAUAGUGAAGACAGCUAACUAAGCUCUAACUGACGCUGAGGCACGAAAAGUGUGGGGGAGUCAAACAGGG